GGGUGAGUAACACGUGGAUAACCUACCUAUAAGACUGGGAUAACUUCGGUAAACCGUAGCUAAUACCGGAUAAUAUAUUGAACCGCAUGGUUCAAUAGUGAAAGACGGUUUUGCUGUCACUUAUAGAUGGAUCCGCGCCGCAUUAGCUAGUUGGUAAGGUAACGGCUUACCAAGGCAACGAUGCGUAGCCGACCUGAGAGGGUGAUCGGCCACACUGGAACUGAGACACGGUCCAG
rnacentral:rRNA from 1 species